AGAAGGAAAUAAGGGUAUAGGAGCAGUAUAGGAUUCCUGCUGCUUCCAUGGUUGGUCUUCUGCUUUUCCUGCACAUUUUCCACAUAUUGACCCCUUUCCAGCCUAGCAAACUAGGUUUACUGCUCUCUGAAACAGAUGCAUGAUUCAAGGCUUAGAUGCUCUCACCUUCUGGUGUUUGGCAUUAUCCCUGUGGAACAGCAACCAAACAGUUUAUGUCACCUCAUAUACACCCUCGUCUCUUUGUCUGCAAGUAUCUGAUAUUUUAUAUCUGAAAAUACAAAAUUCCUCAGCACUGAACUGAUAUCAGCUGUUCCUGACACUUUUUUUCCCACCCAGCACAGUUACUUUGGAAGCGUUAGUCCUAUUCACAGUGAAUAAAUGUUCAUAUUUGAACUUACUGAUGAUGUUAUUCUAUGGACCCAAUCCUUAAAUGCUUAGUUUGUCUAUCAUUAGACAGAGUUCGCAUUAAACUUACUGGCUCAAGACUUUUGUUGCAGUAAUAAUGUAAUUGAAAAAGCGAUAUAAGCCCAUCAGAGGCAUUCAUUUUUAGAUAGAAAUGUAUCUCUCUCUUAGAUGAGAAGAAUCAACCAGAAAACAAACAGAACUGCAAAGGUCUUUAAUAGUUAGAGGCAGAGUGAAUGGAACUGCUUUUUAUAAAGGUUCAUGAUGGCAUGUUAGAAAUCAUAUUCAUUUCUUUGAAAUUAGCAUCUUAAAUUCCCAGGGGAUUUCUUGCAAGUUUAAAAAGCACAGUGAAGAAUACUGUCCCCAGAAAAGCUAUUCAGUUUAAUAUUUUCCUUCUUCGCUUGCAGUCAAUCAUUUUUCUCAGUGAGGCUGAUCUUACAUGCUGCACGGUAUCCAUGGAGGUAAUCUGUCAUAAUAUGAUCAUUCAGUUAGCUGCAUUUAGUCAUCUGCAGCUAGGAUCUUGUACGUGGUAUUUUGAUUUUGUUUAAUGUGAAGGAGUGUGUUCCACUUUUUCUUCAUUGUUAAAUAUUUUUUCAAGAAGUAUUCCUGCUUUGUCUCUUUCUUUCACAGUGAUAUGACAGUGUGUAAUGACUGGAAUAGCACUACGGCACCCCAUGGAGUACCUCUGCUGGCAGACUUACCAGAGUUUUGUUAUGAAGCAUGCUCUCUCCUUGUGGCAGCAGCUAUAUAAGGACUGUGAGAAAACAGGCUUACAUAAGAAAAAGACAUGCUUCCAAGGAAUCUCUGUGAACUGGGACACAAGGUCUGAGGUCCCUCACUUCAAUUCCUUUCAUCUGUAUAUUACUGGGAGAAAAUAACGACAUUCUUGCUCUGACUAGCAAAAGACCUUUGAAGGUGUAAACAAGUUCAGCAGACAUGGAGGGAGAAAACCAAAAGAUUGUGAACUGUUCAUGCCAGACAGACCCUCUCAACAUAAUCCUUGUGCACCUGGCAUGGGUGUGAGCAGAAGCUAUAAAGACCAUUGGCAAGCCCGGCCAAACCUGAGGUGGCUUGAGGGAGGUGAGUGGCAAUGAACCAUGGGUCCAUGUGUGCCAAAGGAGCAAGACAGCGGAUUGCCAAAUUGUGG
rnacentral:lncRNA from 1 species